rnacentral:rRNA from 1 species
GACAGAGGCCUCAAGCGUUAGGCGGAAUCACUGGGCUUAAAGCGUGUGUAGGCGGCUCGUUAAGUGCCUUGUGAAAUCCCACGGCUUAACUGUGGAACGGCUGGGCAUACUGGCGGUCUUGAGCCAUCUAGGGGCGACUGGAACAAACGGUGGAGCGGUGAAAUGCGUAGAUAUUGGGAAGAACACCGGUGGCGAAGGCGGCCAUCUGGACCAUUUCUGACGCUGAGGCGCGAAAGCGUGGGGAGCAAACAGG